CAGUCGCCACGGUAAUACGUAGGUGGCAAGCGUUGUCCGGAAUUAUUGGGCGUAAAGCGUGCGCAGGCGGUUGUGUAAGACAGGUGUGAAAUCCCCGGGCUUAACCUGGGAACUGCGCUUGUGACUGCACAGCUAGAGUAUGGCAGAGGGGGGUGGGAUUCCACGUGUAGCAGUGAAAUGCGUAGAGAUGUGGAGGAACACCGAUGGCGAAGGCAGCCCCCUGGGCCAAUACUGACGCUCAUGCACGAAAGCGUGGGGAGCGAACAGGAUUAGAGACCCCUGUAGUCCCUGUCUCUUAUAC
rnacentral:rRNA from 1 species